CAACUAGGUUUAACUCAGAAUAGACCCAUUGCAAUUAAUAAACCUAACUCAGUCAUGUUCAUUGAUUUCAGUGGGUCUACUCUGAGUAAAAUUUAGUUG